GGCCUUUCAUGGGUCUAAAGAGAGAACAGCAUAAACAAAAGGGUUACAUUUUGCCCUCACGUAGUCAUCUCCGCUUACAUCUUCCCCUGUAUUUUAUUUAACCCCUAUUUUGGGCAAUUUGUCCCCCUAUUGCACCAAGCUGCAAAAUAUUUUGUUGUUUAUAAAAAACAAAAAAUCCCAAUAAUCACAUAAACAUAAUUACGUGACUGCUUGUACAUAGUAUUUGCAAACAGCACA